GUAGUACUCCCUCCGUCCCAUAUUAAGUGACUCAAAUUUGACCACAUAUGGAUGUAUCUAGUCCUAAAAGGUGUCUAGAUACAUGCAAUAGAAAGUCACUUAAUAUGGGACAGAGGGAGUAUGUC
rfam:Brachypodium distachyon strain Bd21 chromosome 3, whole genome shotgun sequence.